GACGAACGCUGGCGGCGUGCUUAACACAUGCAAGUCGAACGGAAAGGCCCUGCUUUUGUGGGGUGCUCGAUUGGCGAACGGGUGAGUAACACGUGAGUAACCUGCCCUUGACUUUGGGAUAACUUCAGGAAACUGGGGCUAAUACCGGAUAGGAGCUCCUGCUGCAUGGUGUGGGUUGGAAAGUUUCGGCGGUUGGGGAUGGACUCGCGGCUUAUCAGCUUGUUGGUGGGGUAGUGGCUUACCAAGGCUUUGACGGGUAGCCGGCCUGAGAGGGUGACCGGCCACAUUGGGACUGAGAUACGGCCCAGACGCCUACGGGAGGCAGCAGUGGGGAAUAUUGCACAAUGGGCGGAAGCCUGAUGCAGCAACGCCGCGUGCGGGAUGACGGCCUUCGGGUUGUAAACCGCUUUCGCCUGUGACGAAGCGUGAGUGACGGUAAUGGGUAAAGAAGCACCGGCUAACUACGUG
rnacentral:rRNA from 1 species